AACGGGCCAGCCUUCGUAUUAACUGCCAACUUCUGAGGUGGAUUUCUAAGGUUCUGACUUUGACAACCGGAUGAAGGAGGGGAAGACGUCCUGUCAUCAUGGCCCUUACAUUCAGGGCUACAUACGUGCUUGAAUGCUCUUUAUAAAGGGUUGUCAAGCCGCGGGGUGGACCUAAUCCCAUAAAACCGAUCGUACUCCGGAUCGCACCCUGCUUCUCCACUGUUGGAAGUCGGAAUCUCUAUUAAUCGUGAAUCAUAAUGUCACGGUGAAUACGUUCCCGGGCCUUGCACACACCGCCCGUG
rnacentral:rRNA from 1 species